AGUGGGAUAGUUGAGUUAAAUGAUGGUUUCAUUCCUAUUUUUUGAGGAAUCUCCAUACUGCUUUCCAGAGUGAAUGUACCAGUUUGCAGUCCCACCAGCAGU
rnacentral:pre_miRNA from 1 species